UAAUAUAAUAAUUAUCACGAUCUCACCGAUUGUGGAAUUGGGCUCUUAUUUCGAACAGAUUUAUGGCCUUAAAUUUACGCCAUGCGAUUAAUUCGAACCAAGCGGAGCAAUUAAACAUUCUCUCGUUAGACGGAUUACUCACAAGCCAUUACGAUUUUUUGGACGACAAAAAGCACUUUCACGAGCGCGAAGCCCAAGAUCGUAAAUUCAUCCUGAC
rnacentral:misc_RNA from 1 species